rnacentral:lncRNA from 1 species
GGAGAAAGGGGCAGGGUAUGUAGGUAGGUAGAAAGAGGAAAAGGAAAAAAAUGUUGUAAUUAUAAUCUCAAACUGAAGAGUAGUCUAAUCAAUAAUACCUAGAGCUUUAUCCUUAGUAUGUGACAGUAUUGUUAAUGUACUUAACAUUGAAGUUCUUCUCAUUAAAAGAAUAGUUUUCUUCAACUUAUAAAACAUUACUUUUAUCAUAAAGCAUAUGCCUUGCUAUUCUGGCAACAGCUUCAUACAUUUUUGUCUUUUAGAUCUACUGACUAUAUCAAGAGUGAAAUGACUUACCCAUCCACAGGUUUCUGUAUGAAGGAGCAAUCAGGAGCCAAAGACAGAGAUGCCACAGGCAAGCAGUGCCGUGAAAAGAAGUGAGAAUUUUUCCUAAGAUGAACCAGAGAUGUGGUUUGCACUCAUUUUCUCAAGGUUUUUACUAAUUCUCUUCUAGAGCCAAGCUUCUUAAACUGUAGAUUACAAUACUACCUGGGGUUGAGCAACAUAAUGUGGGAUUCAGAAGAUAUUUGUCAACAGUAGAUGGCUUCUAAAUGUAAAAUGGCCAAAACUCAAUUUGAAAUCAAAUAGAAAAU